rnacentral:misc_RNA from 1 species
AAGUCGUAACAAGGUUUCCGUAGGUGAACCUGCGGAAGGAUCAUUAAUGAAUUAAAUGUGGGAGUUGGUUGUAGCUGGCACUCUAAUUAAUUUUGGGGAGCAUGUACACGCCUUCUCCUUUCAUCCACACACACCUGUGCACUUGUGAGGCAGCUUGGGGAAAUAGGACUCUAAUUAAUUUUAUUGGACUUGCUCUCCUCUGUCUACUUAAACCACAUAAACUCUAAUUAAUUUAAAACGAAUGUAAUUGAUGUAACGCAUCUAAUACUAAGUUUCAACAACGGAUCUCUUGGCUCUC